UNCAACCCAGGCUGACCUUGAACUCAUGAC
rnacentral:piRNA from 1 species